rnacentral:rRNA from 1 species
GACGAACGCUGGCGGCGUGCUUAACACAUGCAAGUCGAACGGAAAGGCCCUGCUUUUGUGGGGUGCUCGAGUGGCGAACGGGUGAGUAACACGUGAGUAACCUGCCCUUGACUUUGGGAUAACUUCAGGAAACUGGGGCUAAUACCGGAUAGGAGCUCCUGCUGCAUGGUGGGGGUUGGAAAGUUUCGGCGUUUGGGGAUGGACUCGCGGCUAAUCAGCUUGUUGGUGGGGUAGUGGCUUACCAAGGCUUUGACGGGUAGCCGGCCUGUGAGGGUGACCGGCCACAUAGGGAGUGAGAGACGGACCAGACACCUACGGGAGGGAGGAGUGAGGAAGAUUGAACAAUGGACGGAAGCCUGAUGGAGCAACGCCGGGUGCGGGAUGACGGCCUGCGGGUUGUAAGCCGCUUUCGCCUGUGACGAAGCGUGAGUGACGGUAAUGGGUAAAGAAACACCGGCUAAUUACGU